GAGAAAUGAGUGGCGAGCACAGAAGAAGUGGUUGCCCCAAGGUCCAAUUUUGGCAAUUUGGAAAUCAGCACAUGUGCCUAGAGAGUUUUCUGGAAAUGAUUUCCAGCUGCUCCACACUGGGACUUCACCUUCACAAUGAGAGCUGCAUGCGUGAUAGAAGACACAACCACCCCUGCCUGUUAGAGGAGGACAGUUCCUCAGUCAAAGGAAUGAGCAGUGGAGACCUCUCACUAGAACACCCAAACAAGCUUUCGAGUUUCAUUUAAAGAUGCAAAUAUGCAUCCAAAUAGAAAAACAUGACUGUCAAUGUAAUUUAUAUAUGUAUAUAUCUAAUAUCUAUAUAUCUUUCCUAUAUAUUUGUAUCUAUAAAUGUAAAUAGCUUUUUUCAUUUUGCCAACACUUCUUUAAAUAAUGUAAAAUUUUUGUUAGAAAUGCUAGAUUAGGCCGGGCUCACGCCUGUAAUCACAGAGCUCGGGAGGCUGAGGUGGUAGGAUGAUUGCGAGUUCGAGACCAGCCUGGGCUACAAAGUGAGCUCAAGGCCAGCCUGAACUGCACAGCAAGACCUCAUCUCUAAAAAGACAAAAAAAGAAAAAAAAAAAAAGAAAGAAAGAAA